ACGGAAGGCAGCAGUGAGGAAUAUUGGUCAAUGGGCGGAAGCCUGAACCAGCCAAGUCGCGUGAGGGAUGAAGGUCCUAUGGAUUGUAAACCUCUUUAGCCGGGGAGCAAUAAGCGCCACGCGUGGCGUAAUGCGAGUACCCGGAGAAUAAGGAUCGGCUAACUCCGUGCCAGCAGCCGCGGUAAUACGGAGGAUCCGAGCGUUAUCCGGAUUUAUUGGGUUUAAAGGGUGCGCAGGCGGUCGAUUAAGUCAGUGGUCAAAUCGUGAGGCUCAACCUCAUCACGCCAUUGAUACUGGUUGACUUGAUUUCGGUCGAGGCAGGCGGAAUUCGCCGUGUAGCGGUGAAAUGCAUAGAUAUGGCGAAGAACUCCGAUUGCGUAGGCAGCUUACCAGACCGACAAUGACGCUCAUGCACGAAAGUGCGGGGAUCGAACAGGAUUAGAUACCCUGGUA
rnacentral:rRNA from 1 species